AGUUCAUCAGUUAAGUUACUUUGAAUCGGUUGGUCAUAGUGGAGUUACACAUCCAUAUUUGGACCUGGAAAAACUUGGAUAUUCUUUGGAAAAUUUGAUUUGGAAGUUUGGUGUUAAGUUUAUCAAAACGGUGUGAAUAAUGAGGAAUCUGGACGAAUUAAAUCGAAUUAAAACUACUGGAACCAUAAUAUCUUUGGAUUAAAUUUUAAAUUGACCGGUAAGGUGUUUGGGGUGCAGGAAGAUUCAAUCUGUCUUAUGUUAAGCACUGUCUGAAUUUACAAAAGUCUCAAAUGCACCAAAGGAGAGAAAUAACUAAUAUAACUUCCCACCGAGAUAUUUGCGAGAUACAAACCUUAUUGAGGCAAGGAACCAUGUAGGCAAGUUUGAGUUAGCUACUUCCUUCCAUCUUUUUGACUGCCGGCAGCCGACUUAUAGAAAGUCUUUAUUAUUCUCGGAAAGUUUUAUGCUCCAAAUACAUGGGAUAUUUUAAUCCAGCCGGUUCAUCAAGCAACCUAAGUCUGUGUGUUUUACUAUCAUUAAUGCUAUAUAUCUGGGUUAUUUCGAGUAUAACCUUUAUUUUCAUAUAUGCAGCUCAGUGACAUUUUUCAUU